UACAGAGGGUGCGAGCGUUGUCCGGAAUCACUGGGCGUAAAGGGCGCGUAGGCGGUCCGGUAAGCGUGCGGUGAAAGCCCGGGGCUCAACCCCGGGUCGGCCGUGCGAACUGCGGGACUGGAGCUUGUCAGAGGCAGGCGGAAUUCCGGGUGUAGCGGUGGAAUGCGUAGAGAUCCGGAAGAACACCGGUGGCGAAGGCGGCCUGCUGGGACAAUGCUGACGCUGAGGCGCGAAGGUCAGGGGAGCAAACGGG
rnacentral:rRNA from 1 species